CCUACGGGAGGCAGCAGUAGGGAAUCUUCCACAAUGGGCGAAAGCCUGAUGGAGCAACGCCGCGUGGGUGAAGAAGGUCUUCGGAUCGUAAAACCCUGUUGUUAGAGAAGAAAGUGCGUGAGAGUAACUGUUCACGUUUCGACGGUAUCUAACCAGAAAGCCACGGCUAACUACGUGCCAGCAGCCGCGGGAAUACGUAGGUGGCAAGCGUUAUCCGGAUUUAUUUGGCGUAAAGGGAACGCAGGCGGUCUGUUAAGUCUGAUGUGAAAGCCUUCGGCUUAAUCGGAGUAGUGCAUUGGAAACUGGGGGACUUGAGUGCAGAAGAGGAGAGUGGAACUCCAUGUGUAGCGGUGAAAUGCGUAGAUAUAUGGAAGAACACCAGUGGCGAAAGCGGCUCUCUGGUCUGUAACUGACGCUGAGGUUCGAAAGCGUGGGUAGCAAACAGGAUUAGAUACCCCGGUAGUC
rnacentral:rRNA from 1 species